GUUUUUCCCACACCAUCCUCCUGGAGGAGUAAGGUAGCCAGCACGCUACUCGCCCUUGGCUGGGGGAGCACCUCUGGCUCUCUGGGAAAACGAAUUUCAGAAGUGAAGAUAACAUUUUCUGAAACGUUUUAGAUACGUACGCAACAGGAAAAUGGCUUCUGGAGGCCCGGCCAAACCUAAGGUCAUGACCUCACAGUUGGUGAGUUCGAGCCCCGCGUUAGGCUCUGCUGCUGACAGCUCAGCGCCUGGAACCUGCUUCGGAUUUUGUGUCUCCCUCACUCUCUCUCUCUUUCUCUCUCUCUCUGCCCCUCCCCUGCUCGCAGUCUGUCUCUCUUUCUCAAAAAUGAAUAAAUGUUCAAAAUAAAUAAAUGGAUAAAUAAAUAAAUAAAUAAAUAAAACAUUUAA